GGGUGUUGAUGGAGAAGAAAAGAGCCUGUGGAGAGGCCAAGGCACGGGCCAGAUCACGGGAGCAGGAUGGGCCAGCUGAGGGCUGGGCAAGACUGAAAACAAACCCAGCAAAAGGGCCCAGGGUUGCCUGAAGAUGGGAACAGAGCGGGGCCUGGGUGUUUUUGUGCUAGGAGCUGACUUAGCUUAAAGCACAUCCCCCAUCCCAAACCCAAACCCAUUCCCCUCUGUGUUUUGUUUUGUUUCAAGUAGAUGCUUUUUUUUUUUUUUUUUUGAGACAAGGUCUCACUUGGUCACCCGGGCUGGAGUGCAGUGGCACAAUUACAGCUCUCUGCAGCCUUGACCUGCCAGGCUGAAGCAAUUCUCCUACCUCAGCUACCCCCGAUGAGCUGGGACUACAGUGACUCCACUGCCGAGGUCUGAGCACCUGGCUCUAGAGAAGGAAACGAGGAGCAACUGCUGAGUGCCUGCUGGAUGCCAGACUCUGAGCAUGCCACGGAGAGCCGGGUGGGCCCGUGAGAAGAGGAGAGCGUAGGCUUGGUAUCUCUCAUCUUUACUCCCCACCCCCUGCAUCAGGCCAAUGGUUGGCCAUCCAGGCCUAGACAUUCACCCUACUAAUCAUUUCUGGAACUCUCCCCUUCUCUCCACUGGACCUGGGCUCCCAGCCCCCAGGCCUGGUCUUGCCAACCUACCCAGCACUCACUGCCAUACCCCCAUCCCCCACAGCUGUGACACCCAGCCCUGGGUCUGUUGCUUCCUGUUGUGACCUGGGGCAAGUCCCUUUACCCUGUGAAAUGGGGCGGUGGUGUUAGGAUCUUCCUCAUGCACUCCUGGGAGGAGCAAAGGAAGAGGUGAUGGGAGUGAAUGUGACGAAGACUUGUGCUUUUGCCAUGGGAUAAUCAACUUUUUGGAGGUGCCCAAAGAUGCCCUGGCCUGGGACCACUGUCAGGAGGUUGUCCGCAGCUCAGCCCUGACCACUGCUUGGCCUCGGAGGCCUUGUGAGCCUUGCCCCUCACCCGAUGUGGUGGCCCCCUUCGAUGGGGGCAUCUGAGGGUCUUGGCUGCCCUAGACCACCCCUCCAGCACUGGAGGCAGUGGCAGGUGCUGGAGGAGGAUGCCGGUGGGGGUGAGGGAGCUGGCCAGGGACACCUGCCCAGCACAGAGGAAUUCUGUCUCAAGAGGGAAGACAAACAGACGGGAAGGGGAGCUUUAAGGUGAGCGUGUCAUGGAGUGGAAUCCCGGCUUUGUCCCCUACUAGCUGAGAGGCCCUCCACGUCGUAAGCAGCAAGGAGGGAGAGGUUUCUCCUGUUUUGUUCACGGAUGUAUUCUUAGACCCAGAGCAAUGCCUGGCACAUAGUAGGGGCUAAAAGAAGUGCUUGUUGAAUAAAUGAAUCAACCUUGGGUGAA